ensembl:lncRNA
CACUGCAAUACUUUCCGACCCUAAACUGAGUAAUGACCUUUGAAAUGUUGAUCAAAAGAAGUUCAUGAUUUUCUCAUUGAUGCUUGUCUCUGUAGAAACUGCCUUCAGAAAGUGACUUGCACUCUUCGCAUCUGUUUUUUAACAUGUCCAUGAGUACCAGUGAAGAUAACCUUGCUUUCCAUUUCUGGUGCCAUCAAUUCUUUCUACAGUGGUAAACAGCUGCUGUUCGUAUUUACGGACCUCAGUUCAGUCUCAGAUGUGAAAAGAGGUCUGUAUCAAAACCGAAAUCUGCCUCUAACAACACUCUCAGGUUAUCUCAAGCUUACCUCUUGGAUAAACAGAAGUGGCAAACACAUUUUUCUCACAUUUCAACAACAUGAGGUGGAUGUACUUCUGGUUUUCAAUGCUGACCUAAUUCCUGUAGUUGGGUCCACACUGAUGAAUGCUGGGAUUGCAAGGUCUGCUGAAGUGCUAGGACUCUGAAGAGCUUGAAAUGAUGCGGGUAGAUCUAGUGAGACCCCGAGCUCUGGUUCUCCCGUCGGCUGGUGAAGUUCAGCGUUGGAAUAUUCAAAUCUAGGUAUGCUGCCAGCUUCUGCGGGUUCAUCUUUCACACAGACGAUUUCAACCUCCGCCUCCUCCUGUUUGAUUUUAAGUGAUGGUGCUCCAAAGGUCAAUGUGUUUGUCAUUUGGGAUGACACACAUUCAUCUGCCAUCAUGGGUGCAGAGAGGACGCUGCUGUCCGGCAUGUCUGUGUGUCCAGUCUCUGCAGAGGCGAGAGGGUUCUGACCCCAGAUUGGAUCACUGGUCUCAGACAGAAGCGCCUGACUGUCCACCAGAUGAGAGCUUGAGUUCUCAACUAUGGAAACAACAAAAGUCACUUUCUGUUGAG